rnacentral:rRNA from 1 species
UUAAUGAGAGUUUGAUCCUGGCUCAGGACGAACGCUGGCGGCGUGCCUAAUACAUGCAAGUAGAACGCUGAGGAUUGGUGCUUGCACUAAUCCAAGGAGUUGCGAACGGGUGAGUAACGCGUAGGUAACCUACCUCAUAGCGGGGGAUAACUAUUGGAAACGAUAGCUAAUACCGCAUGAUACUAGAGUACACAUGUGCUUAAGUUAAAAGGAGCAACUGCUUCACUAUGAGAUGGACCUGCGUUGUAUUAGCUAGUUGGUGAGGUAAAGGCUCACCAAGGCGACGAUACAUAGCCGACCUGAGAGGGUGAUCGGCCACACUGGGACUGAGACACGGCCCAGACUCCUACGGGAGGCAGCAGUAGGGAAUCUUCGGCAAUGGACGGAAGUCUGACCGAGCAACGCCGCGUGAGUGAAGAAGGUUUUCGGAUCGUAAAGCUCUGUUGUUAGAGAAGAACGGUAAUGGGAGUGGAAAAUCCAUUACGUGACGGUAACUAACCAGAAAGGGACGGCUAACUACGUGCCAGCAGCCGCGGUAAUACGUAGGUCUCGAGCGUUGUCCGGAUUUAUUGGGCGUAAAGCGAGCGCAGGCGGUUCUAUAAGUCUGAAGUAAAAGGCAGUGGCUCAACCAUUGUAUGCUUUGGAAACUGUAGAACUUGAGUGCAGAAGGGGAGAGUGGAAUUCCAUGUGUAGCGGUGAAAUGCGUAGAUAUAUGGAGGAACACCGGUGGCGAAAGCGGCUCUCUGGUCUGUAACUGACGCUGAGGCUCGAAAGCGUGGGGAGCAAACAGGAUUAGAUACCCUGGUAGUCCACGCCGUAAACGAUGAGUGCUAGGUGUUAGGCCCUUUCCGGGGCUUAGUGCCGCAGCUAACGCAUUAAGCACUCCGCCUGGGGAGUACGACCGCAAGGUUGAAACUC